GUGGGGAAUAUUCCGCAAUGGACGAAAGUCUGACGGAGCAACGCCGCGUGAGUGAUGAAGGUUUUCGGACUGUAAAGCUCUGUUGUUUAGGACGAAAGUGCCUGUUGCAAAUAGUUACAGGUAUUGACGGUACUGAACGAGGAAGCCACGGCUAACUACGUGCCAGCAGCCGCGGUAAUACGUAGGUGGCAAGCGUUGUCCGGAAUUAUUGGGCGUAAAGAGCAUGUAGGCGGGAAUCUAAGUCUGUUGUGAAAAUGCGGGGCUCAACCCCGUAUUGCGAUGGAAACUGGGUGUGUUGAGUGCAGGGGAGGGAAGGGGAAUUCCCAGUGUAGCGGUGAAAUGCGUAGAUAUUGGGAGGAACACCAGUGGCGAAGGCGCCUUUCUGGACUGUGUCUGACGCUGAGAUGCGAAAGCCAGGGUAGCGAACGGGAUUAGAUACCCGGGUAGUCC
rnacentral:rRNA from 1 species